UACAGAGGGUGCAAGCGUUAAUCGGAGUUACUGGGCGUAAAGGGCGCGUAGGCGGAUAUUUAAGUUGGAUGUGAAAUCCCUGGGCUUAACCUAGGAAUGGCAUACAAGACUGGAUAUCUGGAGUACUGUAGAGGGCAGUGGAAUUUCCGGUGUAGCGGUGAAAUGCGUAGAGAUCGGAAGGAACACCAGUGGCGAAGGCGACUGCCUGGACAGAUACUGACGCUGAGGCGCGAGAGCGUGGGGAGCAAACAGG
rnacentral:rRNA from 1 species